GUUGGACGUGAAAUCAUCAGUUUCUUUCUUCAGGCAGACAUAUGGCACAGAAAGAUGAACAAUUGAGGAGCCCCACAACGAGCAAUUUCCCUGACACCAUGGCAGCAUUCAGCAGGGAAUAGCAAUGUCACGAAGCAGAGAAUGUCAACUCAGGCUGGACCAUCAGUGCCAUCAGCAGGGCCAGGAUCAGCUUGCUCAUGAGAGAACAUACUGAUCUGCCGCUGAUGGAACACAACCUGCACGUGGUACACCGUGAGGACAACAAAACAGAAGAUGAGGGGGAGAAAAAAAAAACUUGGUGAAGACAGAAAGGAUGAAUUUUAAUUAAAAAGUCAACUUACAGCA